rnacentral:rRNA from 1 species
UACGGAGGGAGCUAGCGUUGUUCGGAAUUACUGGGCGUAAAGCGCGCGUAGGCGGCUUUGUAAGUUAGAGGUGAAAGCCCGGGGCUCAACCCCGGAAUUGCCUUUAAGACUGCAUCGCUUGAAUCCGGGAGAGGUGAGUGGAACUGCGAGUGUAGAGGUGAAAUUCGUAGAUAUUCGCAAGAACACCAGUGGCGAAGGCGGCUCACUGGCCCGAUACUGACGCUGAGGCACGAAAGCGUGGGGAGCAAACAGG